AUCAUUGUCGACUUUUCAUCCCACGGCUGCAAAAAGGCGUCGAUGUGCUUUGCAUCCUAAAAGGAUGGCAGGCAGACGUCUUGAAACCCAUCAAUGGCUGGUACCAUCGCAUCUUGUACCACAGCACAUUCAUCUCAAAGAAAUCGUCCACGCCGUGCGGGGAGCACAAGACACGGAGGGCUCCUCCGUCCGGCCUUCCCUGGCGGUUCCAACAUGGGCCGCUCUGUACCGCUGUUGUGAUUGCAGUUGCUUUGUUGCGAGUUUCGCUGUUCUCUGUAAUUGCUUGUGAUGAAUUGGGCUAGAUCUGCAUACCAGUGCGGAGAAAUGUCUGAAUCUGGAUACUCGCUUACCAAUUUGUGCAUUUCCUUGUCCCUACACAAUAAAGUAAUCUUGUUUCAGACCAUUGAGGCUUGUUUGCCGUGAUGCUGAAUUUUGACUGAAGCGGUUGCAAAUGCCAUUGACGCUUGUUUGCUUCAGAGCCAUUGAUGAUAAUUACAGUCAUGAACGGAUGACCGUUUCUUAUGAGCAACAGAGCAGAGUUUCAAUGAUCCUCAUGGAUGAUGCUGUUCUGGAGUUCCUCACGACCGAUGCCAAAGCACACAGCACGGAGGUUCAUCAACCCUCGCAGAAGGAUGUUGAGAAAUAGUCAGAAGAGUUCAAGUGCUAGCUUUCUUUCUUGGAAACAUGUGGUUAUGAUUAUUCAAUCCAUUGGUGUAAUCCAGCAAUGUGAAUAUAUCUAUAUUUGAACUUCUUCUCCGGUGAAGGAAUAUUGGAAUUGUUCA